rnacentral:misc_RNA from 1 species
UUGAAUUAAUAGUUGGUUGAGCUGUUGCUGGUCUCUUAAUAAGAGGCAUUGUGCACGCCCCACCACUGUUUUCAACCACCUGUGCACCUCAUGUAGACUCUGAAUUCCUGGCGUUGCUGCGCUGCCCAAGCCAGCCUUCCCUGUAAUUCCGGGUCUAUGCGCUUUUAUUAUACCCUGUAAUGAAUGUAUCAGAGUGUUUUGUUAUUGGCCUUUGGUGCCUUUAAUCAAAUA